rnacentral:sRNA from 1 species
AAGAGAACAUUAGUAAAGGAGAAUUCGAAAUACAACGAAAAUUAACGAAUACAAGCAAACCCUAAACAGAUCUACAAUGAAAAUCAACCGGAAACAAGAAACCCUAAUUAGAUCUACAAAUAGAAACUCGAAUAAGACAGAUUAAACCCGAUUCAACUCUAGGGUUUGAAAGAUCAACACAAAAAUCAAAACGAAAACCCUUAUUAUAGAAUGAAGAUACACUCUAGGGUUUGAAACAUUACCUUUGGGUUCCAGACGGCGGCGACGAACAGGUAGACACGGAAGAGAGGAUGAACACGCGUCGAUGAAGAAGCUCCAGACGGCGGCGACGAAGAACAAGCGUGGAUGAGAAGCUCCAGACGGCGGCGAAGAAGAUGUAGACACGACGGCAAUGAGUCGCUGAAGAAGUUCGAGCCGGCGGCGAGUAGCUUCGGCAGUCGUCGGAUCGAGAGAGAAUAGGCGAAGAAGAAAGAAAAUUAGGGUUUGGAUGAGAGACGGCUGGGUUUGAGCUUCGCUCAAACUCGCUCGCAUUUUAUAUAUAAACUUAAAUCGCCUCGCAAAUCCCUCGCAAAGUUGCUAGGGCUUUGCGAGGAACCAACUAAAUAACCAAUAAAAUCGCUUCAAUUUUGCGAGGGACUUGCGAGGGACCGUAGUAAAUUCCUCGCAAAGUUUUAGGGUUACACAGAGAUUCGAUUAGGGUUUUCAGAUAAGUUUGCGAGGAGGUUGCGAGGUCCCUAGUAAAUCCCCCGCAAAUUGCGAGGGACUUGCGUGGGGCCGUAGUAAAUCCCACGCCAAGCUGUAAGGUUACACGCUUGCGAGGAAGUUGCGUGUAUCCGUCGUAAAUCCCUCGCAAAUUGCUAGGGGUUUGCGAGGGACAUGGUAAAAAAUAAAAAUAAAAUUAUAAAA